rnacentral:rRNA from 1 species
UACGUAGGGGGCAAGCGUUAUCCGGAUUUACUGGGUGUAAAGGGAGCGUAGACGGCAGGGCAAGUCUGGAGUGAAAGGCAGGGGCCCAACCCCUGGACUGCUCUGGAAACUGUCCGGCUGGAGUGCAGGAGAGGUAAGUGGAAUUCCUAGUGUAGCGGUGAAAUGCGUAGAUAUUAGGAGGAACACAAGUGGCGAAGGCGGCUUACUGGACUGUAACUGACGUUGAGGCUCGAAAGCGUGGGGAGCAAACAGG